rnacentral:rRNA from 1 species
CGGCCUGAGAGGGCGACCGGCCACACUGGGACUGAGACACGGCCCAGACUCCUACGGGAGGCAGCAGUGGGGAAUAUUGCGCAAUGGGCGAAAGCCUGACGCAGCGACGCCGCGUGGGGGAUGAAGGCCUUCGGGUUGUAAACCCCUUUCAGCAGGGACGAAGCGAGAGUGACGGUACCUGCAGAAGAAGCGCCGGCUAACUACGUGCCAGCAGCCGCGGUAACACGUAGGGCGCAAGCGUUGUCCGGAAUUAUUGGGCGUAAAGAGCUCGUAGGUGGCUUGCUGCGUCCGCUGUGAAAACUCAGGGCUUAACCCUGAGCUUGCAGUGGAUACGGGCAGGCUAGAGGUAGGUAGGGGAGAAUGGAAUUCCCGGUGUAGCGGUGAAAUGCGCAGAUAUCGGGAGGAACACCGGUGGCGAAGGCGGUUCUCUGGGCCUUACCUGACACUGAGGAGCGAAAGCGUGGGGAGCGAACAGGAUUAGAUACCCUGGUAGUCCACGCCGUAAACGUUGGGCGCUAGGUGUGGGGUCCUUCCACGGAUUCCGUGCCGCAGCUAACGCAUUAAGCGCCCCGCCUGGGGAGUACGGCCGCAAGGCUAAAACUCAAAGGAAUGACGAAGGCG